rnacentral:piRNA from 1 species
AGCACUGGAAAGAUUAACAAGAG